rnacentral:rRNA from 1 species
GAUGAACGCUGGCGGCGUGCCUAACACAUGCAAGUCGAGCGAUUCUCUUCGGAGAAGAGCGGCGGACGGGUGAGUAACGCGUGGGUAACCUGCCCUGUACACACGGAUAACAUACCGAAAGGUAUGCUAAUACGAGAUAAUAUGCUUUUAUCGCAUGGUAGAAGUAUCAAAGCUUUUGCGGUACAGGAUGGACCCGCGUCUGAUUAGCUAGUUGGUAAGGUAACGGCUUACCAAGGCGACGAUCAGUAGCCGACCUGGGAGGGUGAUCGGCCACAUUGGAACUGAGACACGGUCCAAACUCCUACGGGAGGCAGCAGUGGGGAAUAUUGCACAAUGGGCGAAAGCCUGAUGCAGCAACGCCGCGUGAGCGAUGAAGGCCUUCGGGUCGUAAAGCUCUGUCCUCAAGGAAGAUAAUGACGGUACUUGAGGAGGAAGCCCCGGCUAACUACGUGCCAGCCGCCGCAGUAAUAC